GAUGAACGCUGGCGGCGUGCUUAACACAUGCAAGUCGAACGAAGCACUUUUAUCGAUUUCUUCGGAAUGAAGUUUUAGUGACUGAGUGGCGGACGGGUGAGUAACGCGUGGGUAACCUGCCUCACACAGGGGGAUAACAGUUGGAAACGGCUGCUAAUACCGCAUAAGCGCACAGUACCGCAUGGUACGGUGUGAAAAACUCCGGUGGUGUGAGAUGGACCCGCGUCUGAUUAGCUAGUUGGCAGGGCAACGGCCUACCAAGGCGACGAUCAGUAGCCGACCUGAGAGGGUGACCGGCGACAUUGGGACUGAGACACGGCCCAAACUCCUACGGGAGGCAGCAGUGGGGAAUAUUGCACAAUGGGGGAAACCCUGAUGCAGCGACGCCGCGUGAGCGAAGAAGUAUUUCGGUAUGUAAAGCUCUAUCAGCAGGGAAGAAGAAAUGACGGUACCUGACUAAGAAGCACCGGCUAAAUACGCGCCAGCCGCCGCGGUAA
rnacentral:rRNA from 1 species